GCUGGGCAUGGUGGUGCAUGCCUGUAAUUCCAGUGUCUUGGGAGGCUGAGGCAGGAGGAUCUCGAGUUCAAAGCCAGCCUCAGCAAAAGUGAGGUGCCAAGCAACUCAGUGAGACCCUGUUUCUA
rnacentral:sRNA from 1 species